rnacentral:rRNA from 1 species
UUCUUAUAAAAUAACCAUAAGUAAUAUCUGCUCAAUGAUAUUUAAAUAGCCGCAGAAUUUUAACUGUGCUAAGGUAGCAUAAUCAUUUACCUUUUAAUUGAAGGUCUGUAUGAAAGAUUUUACAUUUAAAUUAUUUUUUUAUUAAACUAAAUUUAAAUUUUACUAAAAAUAAAAAUAUUUUUAUUAAUAAAAAAGACGACAAGACCCUAUUGAACUUUACUUCAGUUAAGCUGGGGCAGCUAAUUAAAUAUUAUUUUAAUACUGUUAUUUAAAUAUAUUUCUGAAACCUCAAUUUGAAUAAGUUACCAUAGGGAUAACAGCGUAAUAAUUUUUUAAAGCUCUUAUUAAAAAAAAAGGUUACGACCUCGAUGUUGAAUUAAAUUUACUUUAAAACGCAAUAGUAUUAAAAGUAGGUCUGUUCGACCUUUAAAUUUUUACAU